GCCAUCUAGAAUCAUCUCUCUCUCUCUCUUUCUCUAUCUUACUUGAGUCCUAAAUACAUGGUUUCAUCUUCAUCAUGGCUGCGGUGGUAUUAUUUCUGGAUGGUUCGUGAAUAUGCUAAGCUUCGGUCCGAUCUAUCAACGCUCUCAGAGAUCGGGUGCUAGCAACUAAAGGUCUCGCCCUGAUCAAUUUACGUCACCGUUCUCGGGUCUGGGGUCCGGUUCAAGUUGGAUCUUUAAUUUUUAUAUGGAUCUUCAAACUCUUCUCUAAAACAAAUCUAUGGUGUUGCAAUAUACAAUAAACUGGUGAAGUGAAGGGGGUUGGUUUCCUCUGUUUCCAUAAUUUUGAUUGAGGUACGUUUGACUCUCUCACCAAUUCUCUACUUAAACUACUACUGAUGAUUUCUCUAAUCAGUAGGAUGAACUAUGUAUCUAUAUUGUUUCGAUUUUUU